AGGACGAACGCUGGCGGCGUGCUUAACACAUGCAAGUCGAGCGGAAAGGCCCUUCGGGGUACUCGAGCGGCGAACGGGUGAGUAACACGUGAGCAACCUGCCCCUGGCUCUGGGAUAGCCUCCGGAAACGGGGAUUAAUACCGGACAUGACCUGCUGCCGCAUGGUGGCGGGUGGAAAGUUUUUCGGCCAGGGUGGGGCUCGCGGCCUAUCAGCUUGUUGGGGGGUGACGGCCCACCAAGGCGACGACGGGUA
rnacentral:rRNA from 1 species